UGGGUUGUAGCUCAGUGGUAGAGCCUGUGCCUGGCAUGCAUUAGACCCUGGGUCUGAUCCCUAGCACCAUAA
rnacentral:tRNA from 1 species